AUACGGAGGGUGCGAGCGUUAAUCGGAAUUACCGGGCGUAAAGCGUACGUAGGCGGUUGGUUAAGUUAGAUGUGAAAGCCCCGGGCUUAACCUGGGAACUGCAUUUAAAACUGGCGAACUAGAGUUGAGUAGAGGGGAGUGGAAUUUCAGGUGUAGCGGUGAAAUGCGUAGAGAUCUGAAGGAACACCAGUGGCGAAGGCGACUCCCUGGACUCGAACUGACGCUGAGGUACGAAAGCGUGGGUAGCAAACGGGAUUAGAAACCCUAGUAGUCC
rnacentral:rRNA from 1 species